UACGGGGGGGGCAAGCGUUGUUCGGAAUUACUGGGCGUAAAGGGCUCGUAGGCGGCCAACUAAGUCAGACGUGAAAUCCCUCGGCUUAACCGGGGAACUGCGUCUGAUACUGGAUGGCUUGAGGUUGGGAGAGGGAUGCGGAAUUCCAGGUGUAGCGGUGAAAUGCGUAGAUAUCUGGAGGAACACCGGUGGCGAAGGCGGCAUCCUGGACCAAUUCUGACGCUGAGUGAGCGAGAGCCAGGGGAGCAAACGGG
rnacentral:rRNA from 1 species